rnacentral:rRNA from 1 species
UACGAAGGGGGCUAGCGUUGCUCGGAAUCACUGGGCGUAAAGCGCACGUAGGCGGAUCUUUAAGUCAGGGGUGAAAUCCCGGAGCUCAACUCCGGAACUGCCCUUGAUACUGAGGGUCUCGAGUCCGGGAGAGGUGAGUGGAACUGCGAGUGUAGAGGUGAAAUUCGUAGAUAUUCGCAAGAACACCAGUGGCGAAGGCGGCUCACUGGCCCGGUACUGACGCUGAGGUGCGAAAGCGUGGGGAGCAAACAGG